GAUGGCUCUACCAUUAAUACAGAGGUUGUUACAUUCUCUGUAGAAGUAAAAACAACAGACUUAAAUGCGAGAAAAUAAGCUAUCUACUAUUCUUUCUCCAGGCAGAUGGCAAUUUAUGAUGAUUGAGGCAGAAGCUACCACCUCUGAAAUGUCAGUAUACUUCUACCACACUACACAGCACUACAACCCAGGAAACGGUGAUCAUCAUACUUGCUGCUGUGAGAACCCAAAAUCUCACCGAGUUUUGUUAUAGCAACACAGUCAAGUCUUCAUUAUUUGGAGAUAAGCCAUUGAUCCAAAAUAGACAGAGCCCUCAGAGAACUUAGUUUAACACUUCAUAUGGCAAGAAGGAAGAAGAGUGAGAAUUACGACAUACACUCAUUGAAUACUGAAAGAAAUCCGUAUCCAGGAUGAACAGCUUGAGCACCUGUUUUUGUAACAGCUUCCAUGAUGUGAUCAAUAUUGAGAUACGACUCUCUAGUCACUGCAGGUCCUAUGCAGACGGCUUCGUCAGCCAAGUGAACAUGAC